rnacentral:rRNA from 1 species
UCGGGAAUUUUGGGCAAUGGGCGAAAGCCUGACCCAGCAACGCCGCGUGAAGGAUGAGGUAUUUCGGUAUGUAAACUUCGAAAGAAUAGGAAGAAUAAAUGACGGUACUAUUUAUAAGGUCCGGCUAACUACGUGCCAGCAGCCGCGGUAAUACGUAGGGACCAAGCGUUGUUCGGAUUUACUGGGCGUAAAGGGCGCGUAGGCGGCAAUUCAAGUCAUCUGUGAAAUCUCCGGGCUUAACUCGGAACGGUCAGAUGAUACUGCUUUGCUAGAGUGCAGAAGGGGCAAUCGGAAUUCUUGGUGUAGCGGUGAAAUGCGUAGAUAUCAAGAGGAACACCUGAGGUGAAGACGGGUUGCUGGGCUGACACUGACGCUGAGGCGCGAAAGCCAGGGGAGCAAACGGGAUUAGAUACCCCCGUAGUCCCUGAGCGGGCUGGCAAGGCGC